rnacentral:lncRNA from 1 species
UUGAAGAGGAAAUAUUAGAUUUAUUGAAUGAAAGAAUGAUACUGUCAGAAAUCAAGAUAUCAACUCUCCAGUAAUAUGAAAUAGCAAAGAGAAUAGUCCUACUUCAUGAAUUAGUAAGCACUACAUUCAUCAGGACACGACUGUUCACAUUGAUAACAAAACAUCGGAAACAUUCACAAUGGCGUCACACUUCCUAAUAAUAAUAAUAAUAAUAAUAAUCUUCAUGCAGUUUAGGUAAGCAAUUGUGAAAUAAAUUCAAACAAGAGAAACAUGAGUACACACGAGUACAUAGGGUAUACUACAAUGCAAUACGUGUUGUGAGAAGUAGGGUGAGGUGUAUGGUAUGGUUCUGCCUCAAGGAGAGUACGGUGGAGCCGGGGUGUCAGAGUCUUCAACACUGCCCAGUAAGGCCACGUCACUGUCACUCAGGGAGGCCUGGCUGUAGUACCCACGGAGGUGAAUGGAUUUCCCAGAGAAGACGCAGACAGUGAGAGCCACACAGAGCUCCAUCACCGUCAGGACCAGCAGUAGGCCCUUCACCCCAUUCAAGACUUUCUGAUGCACACAGAGGUAAAACAAGAAGAAUAGGUGUCAAUGGUUGGGCUAAUGAUUUGCAUUGUAACUUUAGAAUGAUUUACAAGUUUUGUUCAGGUUUCUCAUCCUGGUAAAACAAUAUCAACGGUAUCUCGUAAAUACAUAAAACAUUUAAUAAGCCUGCAAAGAUGCAUUUCUCUAGCUCCUUGCAACCUUUAAUAAACAAACUGUUUGGAAACACAGGAGACUGCUGAGGGGAGAACGGAUCAUAAUCUUUUCCAGAAUGGUGCAAAUGGAAUGGCAUAAAACACAGAAACACAGUGUGAUGCAUUUGAUACCAUUCCACUUAUUCUGCUCCAGCCAUUACUAUAAGCCCAUCCUCCCCAAUUAAGUUGCCACCAACCUCAUGUGUUUGGAAGGUUACGGAGUUCUCUGAAGUUAGUAUAACAAAUGCAUACAGCAAAAUUACAUGAACCAGGUCACUUCCAUGAAUACUUACAUAUAGUGUCCUAACCAUGAUUGUGCAUUCCUUUAUCCCGUUCUGGUUGGAAUUGGAAGUAUAGUUGUCGUCAGUGUCGGUGCAGAAACCAUCUUCAUGUUUUACAGUCAGCAGCAUGCAAAUAUAGGCAACCCCAGCCAGGGCCACAAGAACACUGACAACAUUCACAGCCAGAGUCCCUUUAAUCUGACAGGGUGGGAAAUGGAGAGGAGGGGAAACUGAACAACCAUUGCAUGACAAUGGUCAUUUGUUUUGUUUAAAAAUAUGUGGACAUAUUAACUGCUAUUAACUGUUGCAACUGGUUAGAUUUUUGGUUUGUGAGUUUGUCUAAUAAAAUAUAUCCUGUUUUACUUCCUAAUAGCAAAGAUUUAAUUUCUGAUAUACAUCUCAAUUUAUAAAUCUAAUAAAGUAAACUUGAAGUGCACACUGCUAUUAACCACAGUCACAGUGAAUGACUUACCAGACUCAAACGUGUUCCUUUCCGGGCAGCCACAGUGAGAGAUCCAGAGAGGACAAACUGGAGAGUGAGCAACACAGGAAAGAAAGAGACUUUAGACCAUUGACAUAUGAAGCUAAGGUGAUGCUGACCAAUCAACUGCCACAUCCAAUGUCACCUACUGUAGUGGCCUACAGUUUAUAGAUAAACAAGUUCUGCUGUCUCCUGUGGGUGUGGGAUGCACUUUGGUCAUGAGUGUUAUCCUGCUUGUUCACCUACUUUUCUAGGUUACAACAGAACUACUGUAAGAUAGAUGACGGCAGAUUCACUCUGAGGAAACAUCUCUAAAAUUGCAUGUGUCCGUGUAGCAUUAAGUGUGUUGGAUAUUACUUGCCCCCUUGGUACCCAGAACUUACAGAAACUCCCAUGAAGAGUGGGAACUGGUCAUACAGGAUAGGGGUGAGAAGAGCAGACAGGCUCACCACCAUACACACCAAUCCAAGAACGAUCUGCACAAUCUGAGACAACAGUAAUUCAGCGAACAUUGAGUAACAAGUGGAAAUGGUAACUAAUAGUGGUUCACAGUUUAGCCUAGAUUUUGUUUUCUUCUAAAUCAAGUUGCCCUCAAAGGAUCUUAAAUAUAGAUCUCUACAAUGUUACAGCCGAUGAUUGAAUCCAAUGGCAAAUGGAUGGAAUGAGCACUAAAGACAAAGGACAGUAAUAUUCUGUUCUCACCCCAAGAGAUUGUGGCUGAACCUGCAGGAACACCCUUGUCAUCUCUGACACUUUAGUGGUCAGCAGUGGCACAGCGGGGGGCGCACUCUGGAUUUGGGGAGUGACAUUCAGAAGUGGCACUGAAGCCUUGCCACUCUCCGCCAAGGGGAAAACUUGUGUCACUACCACAACUCCAUUUGUAGUGGUGAUAGAGGUGGACAUGGUUGAUGAUCCUUAUGUGGGCGGUUCACUGCAACAAACACCUGCAAAGAAAACUACACACUGAAAGCUUGAUACUUUAAUACAGUUGCAGACAUUUUGUCAGUGUUUAUUAUGGCAUUAAAGAUGGCCUAAGUCUUCUCUAGGUUGUCCUUGGUUUAGAAAUAACAUUAACACUAGCCUUUUGAAGAACAAAAUUGAGGUUUGAAGAGUAAAAUGUAGGUGUACUUCAAAUGACCAAAAACAGCAGUAACUAGCACAGAAUGGGCCUUUCUUAGGUCUCGCAAAGGAGAUUUGAUCUCAAUGAGACUAACGUCAUUGAAAGGUUAAUUCAAUAAAUCAAUACAAUAUUGACAACACUCAAUGA